UGUACCCAUGCCGAACACAGUAGUUAAGCCCUAGAACGCCUGAAGUAGUUGGGGGUUGCCCCCUGUGAGAUACGGAAGUUGCUUAGC
rnacentral:rRNA from 1 species